GUGCUUUCUUCAGCAGCACAUAUACUAAAAUUGGAGUGAUACAGAGAAGAUUAGUAUGACCCUUGUGCAAAGAUGACAUGCAAAUUUGUGAAGCAUUUUGCAUUUUU
rnacentral:snRNA from 1 species